CUAGUUUCUGGGGAGGCUCAGCAAAAUCAAGGUCCUGGCCUCAAGGCAUUCAGCUUCCCUGAAGAAUCAAUACAGGACAACAUGGGCUGAGGCGAUACAGAGAAGAGGAGAAAAUGUCUCGGAAAGGUAUUUCUGAUUGAAAUGGAGAAAAAGGAUCAGCACUAUCAAUGAGAGAGCUUCCAGGAGAGUGAAGUUGGAGAAGUGGAGGAUGCUCUGAAAGAACACUAGGUUUUGCGGUUGCCCAGGCUGAUCUCGAACUCCUGAGCUUAAGGGAUCCUCCAGCUUUGGUCUCCCCAAGUCCUAGGAUUAUAGGCGUGACCACCACCCAGUGACCACCAAACUUCAUUUGUAUUGGUAUGCUCCCCAAUACAUGGGAUUGAUAUCCCCCUAAGUCAACCUGGAUCUUGGGUGUCCCUCUGCGGCCCAGGCUGGAGUUUAGUGGCCAGAUCACAGCUUGCUGCAGACUUGAACUCCUAGGCUCAAGCCAUCUUCCUGCCUCAGUCUCUCAAGUAUCUGGGACUACAGGCAUG